rnacentral:tRNA from 1 species
CAGGAUAUAGCUCAUUCGGUAGAGCACUUGACAUGAACUCAAGCUGUAGCAGGUUCGAUUCCCGCUAUCCUAAACA